rnacentral:rRNA from 1 species
AAGGUGGGGAUGACGUCAGGUCAUCAUGGCCCUUACGGCCAGGGCUACACACGUGCUACAAUGGUGCGCACAGAGGGCUGCAAACCCGCGAGGGGGAGCCAAUCUCACAAAACGCAUCGUAGUCCGGAUCGCAGUCUGCAACUCGACUGCGUGAAGUCGGAAUCGCUAGUAAUCGUGAAUCAGAAUGUCACGGUGAAUACGUUCCCGGGCC